rnacentral:rRNA from 1 species
UACGUAGGGACCGAGCGUUGUCCGGAUUCAUUGGGCGUAAAGAGCUCGUAGGCGGCUAUUCAAGUCGAACGUGAAAUCUCGGAGCUCAACUCCGAAACUGCGUCCGAUACUGGGUAGCUAGAGUCUGGUAGGGGGAUCUGGAAUUCCUGGUGUAGCGGUGGAAUGCGCAGAUAUCAGGAGGAACACCGGUGGCGAAGGCGGGAUCCUGGGCCAGUACUGACGCUGAGGAGCGAAAGCGUGGGGAGCGAACAGG